rnacentral:piRNA from 1 species
CAGACUAAUUUCUGAGAAAGCAAUGGA